rnacentral:rRNA from 1 species
CCUACGGGAGGCAGCAGUGGGGAAUCUUGCGCAAUGGGCGGAAGCCUGACGCAGCAACGCCGCGUGUGGGAAGACGGCUUUCGGGUUGUAAACCACUUUCAGGGGGGACGAAGCUUCCGAGGUUAAUAGCCUACGGGGUGACGGUACCCCCAGAAGAAGCCCCGGCUAACUACGUGCCAGCAGCCGCGGUAAUACGUAGGGGGCGAGCGUUGUCCGGAAUCAUUGGGCGUAAAGCGCGUGUAGGCGGCUUGAUAAGUCUGGUGUGAAAUCUUGGGGCUUAACCCCAAGCCUGCACUGGAUACUGUCAAGCUUGAGUCCGGGAGGGGAGAGCGGAAUUCCUAGUGUAGCGGUGAAAUGCGCAGAUAUUAGGAAGAACACCGGUGGCGAAGGCGGCUCUCUGGAACGGUACUGACGCUGAGACGCGAAAGCGUGGGGAGCGAACAGGAUUAGAUACCCUGGUAGUCCACGCCGUAAACGAUGGGCACUAGAUGUGGGCGGUGUCAACUCCGUCCGUGUCGAAGCUAACGCAUUAAGUGCCCCGCCUGGGGAGUACGGCCGCAAGGCAAAACGUCAAAUGAAUUGACGG